AUUGAACGCUGGCGGCAUGCUUUACACAUGCAAGUCGAACGGCCGCGCGGGCUUCGGCCUGGCGGCGAGUGGCGAACGGGUGAGUAAUGCAUCGGAACGUGCCCAGUCUUGGGGGAUAGCCCGGCGAAAGCCGGAUUAAUACCGCAUACGACCUGAGGGUGAAAGCGGGGGACCGAAAGGCCUCGCGCUAUUGGAGCGGCCGAUGUCGGAUUAGCUAGUUGGUUGGGUAAAGGCUUACCAAGGCGACGAUCCGUAGCUGGUCUGAGAGGACGACCAGCCACACUGGGACUGAGACACGGCCCAGACUCCUACGGGAGGCAGCAGUGGGGAAUUUUGGACAAUGGGGGCAACCCUGAUCCAGCCAUGCCGCGUGCGGGAAGAAGGCCUUCGGGUUGUAAACCGCUUUUGUUCGGGAAGAAAUCCUCUGGGCUAAUACCCCGGGGGGAUGACGGUACCGGAAGAAUAAGCACCGGCUAACUACGUG
rnacentral:rRNA from 1 species